rnacentral:lncRNA from 1 species
UGGGCCCAGCUCGGACUGGUCCGCCGGGCCCAAGGGCUCUGGUGCCUUCUGGAAAGCGCUGGCUGGGACUUCACCCUCCUCCUGCAUGUGACGGACACAGCACUGAUCCUGGCAGCUCCUUACCCCCAGCAGCCCGAAACUCACUCCUUAAUUACACAAGGGAAACCUUUUACCUCCGCAGCCAGAGUCUGGGGGGAAAGGCAGGCGUGGGAAGAUGGGUUCUCUACCUGGCCAGUGCCAUGUUGCCUGUUUCUUUACUGUAACUGUGGUGACAAAGAAAAGGGAAGAUGGAGCCUCCAUGUUGAACAUACCUGGCCCCCAGCACUAACUCCCUCUCUGGAUAUCUGGAACAAGGAGGACCUUAAACUUAACAAUAAAGCCAAUGAUGGUUCUACCAGUCUCCCCAAAGCCUCAAGUUUAAAAGCCAUAUGAACUGGCUGAUAGUGGAAAAUGGAAGCCAUGAGGAAAUCAGAUUAGAGUACUACCUGGUGAAGCCUGGAGGACCUACCAAGAAAAGCAAACUUGGAUCUUUGCAAGGUUAGAAGAACGAAUGGGAUCCAAGAAAAAGACUGGUCAUAUUCAACGGCUAAGAGCGUUGGAGAAGGCCUGUGGAGUCUCAGCAGGUCAGGUCCAUGACUCAUGAGUAGACACCUGUGUUUCUACUGCCUGGUGCCAUAAUCAUAAACAAGGAAGAAACUGAGGACAGGAGGGGCCAAACAAGUUACAGUUUCAUCCCUCCAGAGAGCCAACAGAGUAUUUUGCACGAAGUUGAAGCUAAACAGCAAAGAGGAACGAGGAUGGAUUCGAUAAGGUGCAACAAGUCCUGAACACACACAGAGAACUGGCUGUGAAUCCUGUUUCUGCCACUCACCACUUACUUGUUGGGUAACCUUAGCCACUUCAUUUAUCCUCUCUGAUCUUCAGGCCUACCUCAUGUCCUCCCCAAAGAGAUGGUGGGUAAGAGAGAACUUUGCAAAAGGCUGCCAGAGCAUAAAUAGGUCUUAUGACUAUGUAGCAGAAAAAUGGGACCUCAAAGAGGAGAGAGACCUGCAAAGCGGGGGACUGCUGCCAUUCUUUGAGUGGUGGCUCAAAAUAUUUCCCCAAACUGUCCCCAUCUGGUCAGGAUGCCCCACAGCCUUUUACUAAGAUGGUGUCUUCAUCUAGCCUCAGCCCAGCUGCAGUACCUUUCUGGAACUCCCACCACUGAUGCUCAAGAGGAGAGUGUAAGUUCAAGAGGGUUAAGCUCUCUACCCACCCGCUCAUCCACAGUCCCUCAGACAAGCAUGCAGAUACAUGCUUUGUUUGGUUGGUUGGUUGGUUGGUCGGUCGGUUGGUUUUGUUUUGAGACAGGGUCUUGCUCUGUUGCUCAG